AAAAGAAGAGAUCGAGGCAACGACAAGAGCAGCGCAUGAAGACUCAGCAUAGGAGCCAAAGAGGUCUGAUCCCAUUCCAGCAAUAUCUCCAACGUUGUCACCAACAUUGUCCGCAAUGACCUGCAAGAAGCAGAAGGAAGUGCUCAUUGUACUAUUUCAAUACAAAUAUACAUCAAAAUGACAUUACCACGGUCAAUAGAGUCACUACAAAACUUCAACACAAAGGAUUUCAUUAAAGCAUUUUUUAAGAUGUGACUCUUAAGAAAAGACUUACAGCUGGGUUUCUCGGAUCGUCUUCAGGGAUAUUCCUUUCAACUUUCCCAACAAGAUCUGCACCAACAUCAGCAGCUUUGGUGUAUAUUCCACCACCAACACGGCCAAAAAGAGCCAUAGAAGAACCACCGAGACCAUAACCAGUGAUAGCCUCAUAAAGGCCCUCCCAGUCAUCACCAUAAUAAAUUCCAAACAAGUUGAUUGCAAUAUAAAGGACAAAAA
rnacentral:lncRNA from 1 species